GCUGGCCAUACAACAGGUGGGCUUGGAUUUGUCCUGAGGACUGAAAUUCUCAAUCCCUGGUCUAGGGCAGUGUUUCUUGAGUUGUUCAGCAGAAUGGGUUUGCUCUGUGAGUUAUUAAUAGCCACUUGGAGAAGACAAGUCCGAGACUGCUGCAGAGCUGUACCCUUCUUAGUCAUAGUGCACAGGGCAGACCAAAGGCUCUGAGAAGUCCUGGAGUAGAGAAACAUGCUCAACGCCAGGUCAUGAGAUAAAACACAGUUUAGGAGAAAAAUUAAUGAACUGGAACAACAAAAAUGCCUAGGAGGAAAUGGAAGAAAGCAGAAAAACGCCAGAGCACAAGGAUUCGGAGUGAAAGGUCUAACAAGUGUGCCUCCGAGUCCAAGAGUGAAGGGAGAAACUGAGGCAAAGGGACAAAGCCGGCCCUGCUGAGAGAGACAGGACUCUGGCCUGCCCGUCCUGGCCUCCUGAGAGAGCGGUCAUCGGUGGCGACUUGAGGAGCAAUGGUAAAGGACGAACGAUGAAGGAGGGAGCCACCCUGUGCCGUCCCUGGUAGGGCUCGCCCUGGUCUCCGUGUUUCAACACGACGCCGUGAUGAACUGACGAACGGCUGCUCCGCUCAAGAGCUACGGCUGCUUGGAAAAUGGCCCAGUGGCCACCCGACUUUAAAAAGGUGCGGAGAAAACCGAAUGUGGGGUUGCACACCUGUGAUCCCAGCACUCGGAGGCUGAGGCAGGGGGACUGCAAGUCUGAGCCCAGCCGGGGCAGCUUAGCGACUUACUGAGCCUUGUCUCAAAAUAAAAAAUAAAGAAGGGCUCUGGAUGUAACUCAGAGCGAGGGGCCUGGUUUCUGUCCUCAGUACUUUGAGGAGAAAAAGCUUGGAGCCUAGCCCCUUGUCCUCGGAUGUCUAGGGAGAUGGUGGGGACCUGCGUUCCCGUCUCCCGGCCCUUCCUCAGCGGGACGCACCUUGCUGGGCCCUCCUUGCCGGGAUGAGCUCCCACUCCCGAAGCCUGGCUUCCCAGGUGGAUGUGAGGCCUGUGGGUGACAGAGGGGACCAGGGCUGAGCUGCACAGGCCGGCUUCAUCUCGCCUUUGCAGGGGGACCCAGAGGCCGCCGGCGUAGCUGUGGGCCUGUGUGGUGUGAGCAGAAGAAGCCAGCCGCCUGCCUGGUGGGUGGCCCCCUCUCCCGAGAGUCUGUCCCGGUCACCUGGAGGUGGCCUUUGUGGGGUCCUUGUGGAAGACACUGCAGGGCUCCAGG